CCUACGGGGGGCAGCAGUGGGGAAUUUUGGACAAUGGGCGAAAGCCUGAUCCAGCUAUGCCGCGUGAGUGAAGAAGGCCUUCGGGUUGUAAAGCUCUUUUGGUUGGGAAGAAGUUUAUCUGUUUAAGCGCUGGAUAGAUUGACGGUACCGACCGAAGAAGCACCGGCUAACUACGUGCCAGCAGCCGCGGUAAUACGUAGGGUGCGAGCGUUAAUCGGAAUUACUGGGCGGAAAGGGUGCGCAGGCGGCUACAUAAGUCAGAUGUGAAAUCCCCGGGCUUAACCUGGGAACUGCGUUUGAAACUAUGUGGCUAGAGUACGGGAGAGGGAUGUGGAAUUCCAGGUGUAGCAGUGAAAUGCGUAGAUAUAUGGAAGAACAUCGAUGGCGAAGGCAGCCUCCUGGGUUGAUACUGACGCUCAUGCACGAAAGCGUGGGGAGCAAACAGGAUUAGAUACCCUUGUAGUC
rnacentral:rRNA from 1 species